rnacentral:ncRNA from 2 species
AACAUGUAUGCUCCCUCAGGUCGUCGCCACCCGACGCAGGGGAAUCCGGUGAGAACCCGGAACUGACCCGCAACGGUGUGCGGGCAGCUCACCGCUGCCCGCGAGUCCGAUCGCCUGCCGGCGGCGACAGCGAACG